UUAAUUAGUUGCCAAACAAGUUAAAUGUACCUUCUUUCAAGGUUCACUAAACUAAAACGACCCUACAAUCAUUGACAAUGACGCAAGGCGAUGUCCAGAGUUUUUCUUCCAACUUUCGGUUUCGCUUACGUCUUUAUUAAUUAGAAAUAAAAUUAGAUGGACCAUGAUCUCUGAGAAUGGGGAAAAAUGCAAUUGAUUUGCUUGUAAUUGAUUGUCUCUCAAAUAUUUAUUAAAAAAUAUAAAUUCUAACGUAGCUAUAUAUUCUAACGGUUACGCAUUUAAGACGAAACGCUCUUCACUGGCGGAGGUAAUUUCGAACUCCCGCUAUUUUUGUCGGAAUAAUGCGCCAAAUAAACUGAAGUGUUGUUUCGUUUAUUUAAGCCGGCCUAAAGGAGCUAACAAAGAUAUCAUCAGUCCACAAAGGAAUCAACCAGUGAAGGAGAAAAACAUUCAAAGCUGUAAAUUGCCAAAUCCAUCACCGGACUUAAGGAGCUAACAAAGAAAUCAUCAGUCCACAAAAGAAUCAACCAGUGAAGGAGAAAAACAUUCAAAGCUGUAAAAUGCCAAAUCCAUCAGUUGGAAGAUGGAUGUCAAAGUCUCAGACAAAAGCUUCCAGAGUUCAGAAAAGAUCACUUCAACAAAAACAAGCACGAGAAGAAUGACUGCAAAAAAUCUUUUCGCUGAUGCGUUUCCUCAUCAAGUGUAUAAGGAAAACGGACCUGUCUACAGAGACUAGAUGUAAAUGUCAAGGACUGAAAUGAGCAAUUCAAUGGCUCAUUUCUAAUUGUGUUAAGUGUCAUAAAAAAUUAAAACUGUUAUAAAUGGACAUGUAGUAAUGAUGAA